UACGUAGGGAGCAAGCGUUGUCCGGAAUCAUUGGGCGUAAAGAGCGUGUAGGCGGCCCGGUAAGUCGGUUGUGAAAGUCAAGGGCUCAACCCUUGAAAGCCGACCGAUACUGUCGGGCUAGAGUCCGGAAGAGGCGAGUGGAAUUCCUGGUGUAGCGGUGAAAUGCGCAGAUAUCAGGAGGAACACCGGUGGCGAAGGCGGUUCUCUGGGCAUGAUCUGACGCUGAGGAGCGAAAGUGUGGGGAGCGAACAGG
rnacentral:rRNA from 1 species